CUGAUCCUUAUAAGCCUAAGCCCAAGCCCACUCCCAAGCCAACUCCCACUCCUUAUCCAUCUGCAGGAAAAUGCCCUAAGGAUGCCCUAAAAUUAGGUGUUUGUGCUGAUGUCCUCAACUUGGUGCACAAUGUUGUGAUUGGAUCUCCACCAACACUCCCAUGCUGCAGCCUUCUUGAAGGCCUCGUCAACCUCGAGGCCGCGGUAUGCCUUUGCACAGCCAUUAAAGCCAACGUUCUGGGGAUCCAUCUCAAUCUUCCUAUUGCCCUCAGCUUAGUUCUAAACAACUGCGGCAAGCAAGUCCCAAAUGGCUUCGAAUGUACCUAAAUUUCUAGUGUGACAGAAGGAUCCUGAUGUGCUUUCUGGGGAUUUUGUUCUUUGUGUUUUUGAUUUAUUGUAAAGUGUGCUGUUUUUUGAUUGCAGUAUUGUUGGCUUAACAAUAUAUUCAUUUAUUUUUCUUUUAUGAAGUGAUUUAAUGGAAAAAAUUGUUUUGAGUUCGGUCACCUUAGAUUAGUUUGUGGCUUAUGGCUUGGUCAUGAAUACUUUAAUACUCCUCCGUCCCACAAUACAAGUCUCUUUUGAAAAAAUUACGCAUGUUGCAUUGGAAACUAGAAGUGAACAAGUAUUAUGAGAAAAAAUUUCUUCUAAAAGAGACUAGUAUUGUGGGACGGAGGGAGUACAUGAGUGUCAGAGAGAGUAAACUUUUAAGCGUGGUUAAAAUUUUUCAAACUCCGAAAAAUUACGCAUGUUGCAUUGGAAACUAGAAGUGAACAAGUAUUAUGAGAAAAAAUUUCUUCUAAAAGAGACUAGUAUUGUGGGACGGAGGGAGUACAUGAGUGUCAGAGAGAGUAAACUUUUAAGCGUGGUUAAAAUUUUUCAAACUCCGUGAAAAAAGUCUGAAAGACUAGGUAUCUAAAUGGUGGUGAGUAGUGUGCUAAAUUUACAAAAUUGGGAAAGAAAUUUUUAUAUAAAAUGACAUGAUAUAAUUGAGGUGAUAUGUUUUAAUUCGUGUUAUUUAUGUGAAUAUCGGAUUCUAUUUCAAUCAAAAGUUAACAGGUUUCAUCUUUUAAAAGAUUUUGUACCCAUUUUUGUAUACGUAAUAUUUUUCUACUUUUUAAUAUUAAACCUAAUGGCUCAUCUUGCUAAUUGUCCGAAGACAUUUUCUUUUCUUCAACUAAUAUAAUUAAGAAAUUCGGGAAAAUAAUUUUAGUUCUUAUGAUACAAAUCUAAAAAUAUUAAAAAGAGAUCAUGCACUUGCGAUAUCUUAAAAUUAUAUUUUUCGCACAUGGACUAAAAUUCUAAAGUUAAAACUUAACGUACCAAAGUAGUGACUAACUCAAAUUUUAUUAUUUGAAUUUAAUGAUAUAAAAUAAGAAAAACUAUUAUUUUUUGGGCCCCUCUUGGAAAUAUUUAAAUUCCCCUAAAAUGAGUUUUUCUCGGGGAGGGUUUGUCGCCAGCAAUCCUGACUACCUUACAGACGACUAAUCAAAUAUAUCUGUACGCACCUAGUUCUCUAUUCGGUGUUAAUGAUGCCCGUGACAAUGCUAGAGUCAAGAAUGAAUACAGAAAUACCCUCAUAAACGGACCAGAUGAAUGUGGAUAAAUUACAAAUAAAAGAAUCCUGAAAUAUUUGUCAGGGGCAGUCUAAAAUAUAUGUCGGAAAAUAUAAUCAUAAUAACUAGCACAUCUAAAAUUUGAAGGUGUUAGAGGAAGGCUCAACAAGAUCUUAUGCUCUUUUCCUAGUGCAGCAUCGAUCAGUAGGACUAGGGGUCGUUUUUACUAAUUUAAACACCUAAAAAUGAAAGAAAUCUGAAAAAAUUUAACUUCUGACGGUAAGAUGAUGCAUGAAACAACAGAACGAAACAGAUGUAAACUAUAUAAUAUGGUUGAUUUCGGUUUGCUUGAUCCAUAUCAUACAAUUUUUUGAAAAAAAGCGAGAACUCACUACUAGAUAUAUUGCAUUAGACCUCGAUUAUUAAUCAAACGGAUGUCUUCGCAUGUGCAGAGAAAAGUAAGGGUAUAUGACAUCGGUUUUUAGCCGAUGUUAAAGGGGAAGGAACAUAGACAAGGGUUUGCUUAUGAAAACUGAUGUAUUUAACUCAUAUUUCUAAUUAUAUUGUAAAACUAAAUAUGAAAUCUUUCUACAUUAGUAGGUUAAGGAGCAUUAUAAACAUAUAUAAUACGGAAGAAUAUUAGACUCAUGCAUAGAUCAGAAUUGUUGUCAUUAUGAACAUGUCAAAACAUACUACAAACAAAGCUAUGUUAAAUCAUGAGAUAAAGAGCAAGCCAUGUUAAAAAACCAGGCUUUUACAUCAAUCGAGAACCUAACACUCUUAGAACUAUUUUCUCAAUGCCAAAUCCAAUCAAUAAUACCCCCCUUAUUAUUUCAUUAAGUACUUAUUCACUUCAAUAAGUUGUUUAUAAAUCAGACUAUGCUUCCUCUAUAUCAGUUCACGGGACAUCAAUUAUUGAUCAUAUGUGACAAGAACAUGCCAAGUUGUUCAUGUAUUAUUCACUCAUAUAGCCUCCAAAAAUAUCUCUUCAUUUAAUGUGCUUGACAGCUCAAUUUCACGAACUUAUCACACAGAAACCCCCUAUAAAUUCAUCACUAAUCACAAUCCUUUCCAUUACAACAUAAACACUCUUCUAAGCCUCUGAUCAACAAUAGUUCUCAUUAGUCUUUGAGUUUGAGAGAUGGGGUCCAAGAACAGUGCUUCAGUAGCUCUCUUUCUCACCCUUAACAUUCUCUUCUUUGCAUUGGUGAGUUCCACUGAAAAAUGCCCUGAUCCUUAUAAGCCUAAGCCCAAGCCCACUCCCAAACCAACUCCCACUCCUUAUCCAUCUGCAGGAAAAUGCCCUAGAGAUGCCCUAAAGUUAGGUGUCUGUGCUGAUGUCCUCAACUUGGUGCACAAUGUUGUGAUUGGAUCUCCACCAACACUCCCAUGCUGCAGCCUUCUUGAAGGCCUCGUCAACCUCGAGGCCGCGGUAUGCCUUUGCACUGCCAUUAAAGCUAACAUAUUGGGAAAGAACCUCAAUCUUCCUAUUGCCCUUAGCUUAGUUCUUAACAACUGCGGCAAGCAAGUUCCAAAUGGCUUCGAAUGUACCUAAAAUUUCUAGUGUGAGAGAAGGAUCAUGAUGUGCUUUCUGGAUUUUGUUCUUUGUGUUUUUGAUUAUUGUAAAGUGUGCUGUUUCUGAUUGCAGUAUUGUUGGCUUAACAAUAUAUUAAUUUUUUUUUUUUGUCAUUUAUGAAGCAAUUCAAUGGAAAAUUUUGUUUUGAGUUCUGUCAUCUUAGAGUAGUUAUUAGUUUGUGUUCAUGAGUACUAAUUUGCAGACUACUCAAGCCCAUGUGCAAAAUUGAAAGUAUUGUGUUGUGAAUAUUAAAAUUUCGAAACUGGUAAAAUUUCAUAUAUAUAGUACCCAUUAUUCUUUAGAAAAUCGGUGAUUAAACAACAUUAAUAACCGAUUAAUUACCGUUUCGUAAUUCGUCGAGCUAAUUAAAUUUCGAAUUAUUUAACAAUCAUUUAAUUGAAUUUUUUUUGAUCCAAAUAACCCAUGUUCCAUACUGUAAAUAUAAUAUUGGCAUCAAUAUAAAUCUUAAAUAAAUGGAUCCAUAAAAAUAAAAAUGUUGGAAUUCAUGCACUUGCAUAUUCAUUUUCAUAUUCAGAGUAUCUAUUUAUUAUAUGUUCAUGCAACUUGUAAUCAAGUUCAUUUAGAGUUCUUUGUAUCAACUCUUUAAAUAUUCUCUAGAAUCUAUACAAAGUAUAUUCUACAUCAUUUGUAAUUCACUUCAAUCAGUGAAAUCAAAUUUAGAAAUAUAAAAGUUCUUUCAUCUUUAUUUCUUUUUUUUUUCCAUCUAUAUUUCUUUCUUAGAGCUCGUAGCAACUCAUUUAGUUUCAUUCAAAAAUUAUAUGCCUAAAAGAUGUAUAUAAAUGAAAUUGUUCAAACGUAUUUUAGUUGUAAUAUAUACGCCUAUUAGAAUAUGUUAAAAUAAAAUAUCUGUAAACCGACCUCUAAUUUGACAUUUGCUUCAUUAAAACAAAUAUUAUAUAUAUUUGAAGCUAUGAAAAUAAUUAAAAAAUAAUUUGAUCAAAGAAAAUGAAAAUAUUUAAAUUAAUUUUACUACAAGUCUGAGUAAAACAAAAAACCAUAAACUAGUAGUUAAUUUAAAUACCAACCACCCGACUACUAAGAUUUUUAGGAUUUUUUAUAAAUACCUACAUCUUAAAAACAAUUGCAAAAAUAUUAUCACUUUUUAAAACAAAUUGCAAAAAUACUAUGUUUUUUUAAAAAAAUAUUGACAAAAAUAAGGAGGUUGCAUAUGCAACCAUAUUUGCAACUGUUAGCAACUAUAUAUGCAACCACAAAUACAAUUUUGACUGAAAAUUUGCAGGUACUUGCAAAUGACGAAAAUGAGUACCUCUGCGUUGCCAAUACUAAUAUCACAAAAGUAACCAUGAAAUGAACUAAAACAUAACGAGAAAAUCAAUUAAAAGCAACUCAACAACCUUCAAAGAAACUGAAUUCAGGUAACAAUUGUUAUGUUUUGAUUUUGUAUAAAUGUAUAUAUGAUUUUGUGCAUGCAUAUACGUGUUUGCGGUCAGUGGCGGAGGCAGAACACAAUACUCAAGGAGGCACUUUUUAAUUUUUAAUAUUCUAGGGGCAAUUUUUAACAUUCCAGGGUCACAAGGAGUAAUAUUUUGUAGAUUAAUAUUGUCAAAUAUAUGGAUCUCAUAUAAAAACAUAUACACUUUUCUGAAACCUACGGGGGCAUGGGCACCCAGAGGCCCCCAUGUCCCUCCGCCUCUGUUUGCGGUGCUGGUGGGCUUGGUGGUGUCCGAAUGCGGGGCUCGAAAGGGUGGUGUGGGGAUUAGUUUUUUAACCGGAGGAGGGGAUGUACAUUGGAGGCUGUUGAUGUUGAUUGUUGGUCUAUAAUGGCCGACUGUAGGAAUGGAUGUUCGUGCGGGAGGAAUAAGGAGAGGGAGAAGAGAGUGCAUAUUGAGAUAGAGAAGAGAUUGAGAGCAAAGAUGAGGUAGAGGCAUUUGUUGGAGUAAGGAGAAAUAGGAACACAAAAGCACCCUAGAAAUCAGGAAGCCUGAACAACUAAAAAUACUUGCCCACAUAAUACUCCACUACUUAACUCCCUUGCUUCAAACAUGCAGAUCACACCAAGAAGUUUUCGGAAAUAAUAAUGCUUAGCUUGAGAAAGCGACUUCGUCAAAAUAUCAGCUUUUUGUUCAUUUGUUGGACAAAAUUUGAGCUGCAAUUCUCCAUCUGCUGUGUGACUGCGGAUAAUAUGAUAAUGAAUGUCGAUGUGUUUGGUUCUACUAUGGAAGGCUAGAUUUCUUGUCAUUGCUAUUGUUGCUUUAUUAUAACAAUACAUUUCUGUUGCACCAUCUUGUUUUUGAUGUAUAUCAACCACCACACGUUGCAACCAUAAAGCUUUAAACAUAUUCAGCCUCCGACGAAGAUAAAGCAACCACAUCCUACUUCUUUGAACUCCAUAAAAUUUCUCCUGAACCCAAAGCUAAAAACAUGACCUGAAGUGCUCUUUCUAUCAUCAAGACAACCUACCCAAUCACUGUCGCUAUACCCAAAAAGCUUGAAAUCCGCAUCUUUUGAAUACCAAAUCCCAAACUCAGUCGUCCCUGCUAUAUGACCAAGUACUCUCUUUGCGGCACCUAAAUGUUGCUUUGUUCGAUUAUGCAUAUACCUGGAUAGCACACUCACAGAGUGCAUGAUAUCUAGUCGUGUAUGCGUCAGAUAAUUUAGCCCGCCAAUCAGACUUCUGCAAUAGCUUGUAUAUGCAAUUGGUGUACCAUCUUAAGCCUACAAUUUUUCACCGGUAUUCAUAGGUGUAGCUGCUGCCUUACAAUUUUUCAUAUGAAACCUACAGAGCAGGUCUUUAGCAUAUUUCUUUUGCGCAACAAAUAUUCCAUCAUCUGCUUGUUUCACCUCAAGACCAAGAAAAUACUGCAAUGUCCCUAAAUCUGACAUCUCACACUCACUUUUCAUACAUGACCUGAACUCAUUAACAAGAGUUUCAGACGAUCCAAAAUAGAUCAUGUCAUCAACGUAAGUGCGUAUUACUAAGAAUUCGCCAUUAUCAUGCUUUUCACAUAUAGAGUGGGUUCAUUUUCGCUCCUGACGAAACCAUGUUGUAGAAAGUAAGAAUCAAUUCUCUUGUACCAUGCUCUCGGUGAUUAUUUUAACCCAUAAAGAGCUUUAAUUAGCUUGUACACCUUAUUCUCCUUCUCAUUAACAACAAAUCCAUCAGGCUGUGAGACAUAAACAUCCUCUUCUAGCUCCCCAUUUGGGAAAGCAGAUUUUAGAUCAAAUUGAUGCACAUGUAAGUUCAUUUUAGUAGCUAAACAAAGGAGAGUUCUUACCGUUUCAAAACGAGCCACCGGUAAGAGAGUUUCGUCAAAGUCAACACCUUCCUGUUGACCGUACCCUUUCGCCACGAGCUUGCUUUAUAUAUACUUUUGGAUGAUCCCAUCUGCAUGAUGCUUUAUCUUAUAUACCCAUUUGAGACCAAUGAGAGUUUUUCCUUCUGGUAAAUCAACCAAUUCCCAUGUUUUGUUACGAACAAUAGCUUGCAAUUCUUCAACCAUUACAUUCUACUAAUUUUCAGUGUUAAUUGCUUUUUCAAAAGAUUUAGGUUUCGACACAUUUAAUGCAAAGGGAAGAGAUUCAUAUAUCUCCUCAAUAGACUUCAUUUUUUUGGAGGUGUUUCACUUGAAGGAGUACAGGAUGAAGAGUUCACUGGAGACCCGCUUCCAUCAAAUUUUUUAUCAACACUAACCAGUGAAUUUGGAAGACAAGAAGGAACAUUGGAAUAACCAAUUGGUUCAUCUUGGAUGGCAACUUGAUACUAAUAUCGACAAGAUCAGAAGCAACAUUCCAGCUUGAUUCCUCAUUAAAUACAACGUCCCUGCUGAUGAUGAUAACUUUUUCCUUCACCGUAUCGUACAACUUGUAUGCUUUCGAAGGAAUGCUAUAAUUGAUAGAUUUGCAUUUUGUAGCUUUCUCAUCAAGAUUUUUACGAUAUAGAGCAUCCACUAAAACAUAAGCAACGAACCAAAUACACUUAGAUGACUUACAUCAGGCUUACUACCUUCCCAUGCUUCGUAUGGAGUUUGAUUAUACACUGCCUUGGUUGGACAAAUAUUCAGAAUGUACACAGCUGUAGCAACAGCUUCACCCCAAAAUAUUUUAGGAAUGCCUCUUUCUUUCAUAAUACUUCUUGUCAUCUCUACAAUUGUGCGAUUUUUUCAUUACGCGAUGCCAUUUUGUUGGGGCUUGCGAGGUGCUGUGAGUUCUCGAAAUAUAUCAUUAUUUUCACAAUAAGUAUUAAAUUCUUGUGACAAGAAUUCACCUCUCCUAUUUGUUCAAAGUGUCUUGAUCAUUCUCUCACCUCGCUUUUCCACGAGAGACUUAAAUUUCUUAAAACAACCAAAUGCCUCAGAUUUGUACUUCAAAAAGUAGACCCAACACAUACAGCUUUAAUCAUCAACAAGAAGUAGGAAAUAGAGACUUCCACCCAAAGUUUCUACAGACAUUGGACCACACAAAUCUUCAUGAAUUAGUUCUCAACAUAUUGAAGCUCUCCAAGCCUUGCCUACUGUGAAUGUUUGUCUACUCUGUUUUCCAUAAACACAGCCCUCACAAAAACUGAGAUUACUGAUUUUGGGCAGCCCAAUUAUCAUAUCCUUGUUUCCUAAUAACAGUAAACCUCUAACAUUUAAAUGACCAUAUCUUAAAUGCCAUAGAUUUUAUUUGGAAUCAUUUGCUAAAAGGGCAUGACUCUGGCUCACAUUAAGAGGAAACAUUCUAUUCGAGCCAUAAAUAGAUUGUUUUCUUCAUCUAGAUAUUCAUCGGCUUGGUGAUAUUUAUUCUAUUCGAGCCAUAAAUCGAUUGUUUAAAAAUAUAGUAAAUUUGUAAGGUUUUAGACAAGUUAGUAUAUGUACAAAUAAAUAUUCAAAGAUGAGUAUAUUUUUCAAAUUCCCAAAUUUUCAUAUUUUAAUUUUCAUAUGAUAAUAUAAAUUAUACAUAUUAUAAUAUAAUUAAUAAGUUAUGAGAUUAUUAGAUAAAAUAAAUACGAUAAAAUAUUUACCUGAGGGAUUCAAUACUUUGACGCUCAAUUAUCAAAAUAUAUAUUCCUAAUAUGUUAGUUUCUUAAUAUUUUGACAUCUAUUUUUAAGAAUUUUGACCACACACAUAAAAAAUGUAUUUACAAAAGUAAAAUUUUAGAAAUAUUUCCUCCAUCCUAUUUUAACUCAUGUUAAAUUUUUUGACACAGAUUUUAAGGUGCUAAAUAUCACAUCUAAAUAUAAUAUUUUUAUUAUAAAAUCUAUAUCAAAUAAAAAUCUAGAAACUAAACUUUAAAAAUUUAAUAUGAAAGUUAAAUAUUUUUGUUAAGUGUUAUUUUUUAAACUAUAAUAUAUAUAUAUAUGUCAAAUGCCAAAAAUAGUAAUGGAGGAAGUAAUAUUUUUUUAAAACUCUUCAAAAUACAUAUAAAAAGUCCAACUGAAUAAAAUUAUUUUUUAUGAUUAAACUUAAGGGUUUUUAUACAUAACCAAGUUUGGAAGAAUUUUUGCGAAAAUACUAUCAGUUUUUUAAAAUUACGGUGGUUGCAUAGGCAACCCGCAUCUGAAACUGCCAGCCAGCAACAACCACAUGCAACGAGAAAUGCAACUUUGAAAUAAAAAAAUUUGGAAAUUAUAUUUGUUUCUAUAAUAGGUUACAACCGGUUGCAAGACAGAAAAAUAACCCCUACCGGCCAAACAUUACGACCUAAAAACAACUAAUACAACAACUUUUGCAAUUUUGAAACAGACUACUCAAAUUAACUAUCCCAGCCACUCAUUCUUCAAACAAACUCUUCGACUACAACUCAAUCAAAAAGAAGAACAAGACUCGGACCUGCGACUUGGACUCAGAGAAAACACACAAGAAAUCAGCCACUCUCGGUGUCACAGCAAAACACAACAAACAAAUCUCAAGAAAUCGAAGCAAAAUCCAGCAGAAUCAAACAUCAACUCAGCUACUCGGCGUGACUCGGAGGUGACUCGGUGCAAAUCACAAACAAAAGAACGAAAAGACGCAACCAGAUGAGGAGCCUAGGCGGGACUUGGCGGCGCGUGAGAAUAGGGAGAGGUGGGAGAGUUCGUCGGCGAGGGGGAUGGGCAGGAAGAUGAUAGUGCGGGUUGAAGAGGAGGGAGGGUUUGAAGAGUGAUUAAUUGAUUGUUGGAGAGAGAGAGAGAGUGGGGGUGAGGUGAGAGAGGAGGAAAAAUAAGUAGUAAAGAAAUAAAAAGGUGAAUUAGAGAAGGUAGUAUUUUUGAAAAUAAGAUUGAAAAAAUGUAAUAUAUUUGAAAGAUUUUUGAGAGGGUGUAUAUUUGUAAAUAAGAUCCAUAAAAAUAGUAUACAUGGCAAAUAAUGGUUCAUCAGUGUGAUUAUAAUUCUAGGAGUUAAAAAUUAACAUACUGAUUACCGACUAACAAAAAUUUUAGUAUUUGAAUUUAAGGAUAUGAAACUAAAUACUCCCUCCAUCCCACAAUACAUGCCUCUUUUAAAAAAAUUAUGCAUAUUAAGAAAACAUUAAUUAGAUAAAAAUUUCUCACUUAUACCCUAAUGAAUACAUGAAUGUAGACUAUUAUUCAACCUAUAUUAAUUGAAAUUUUGGAAUAAUGUCAAUAUAUUUGCAUUUGGAAACUAAAAGUAAACAGGUAUUAUGAGACAAAAAAUUCUUCCAAAAGAGACAUGUAUUGUUGGACGGAAGGAGUAAAAUAUAUAAUUAAUCUGGGUCCCUCUUGGAAAUAUCAAAAUUCCGGUAAAAUGAAGAGUUCUUUCUCGGGGAGGUUUUGUCCACCUUACAGAGAUAAAAAAUCAAAUAUAUUUAAUCUGGUUGAUUUCGGUUUGCUGAUACCAUACAAUUUUUUUUUUUUUUUUAAAGCAAGAACUCACUACUAGAAUUAGACAUUGGCUCUUAACCGAAUUGAUGUCUUCGCCUGUGUAGAAAAAGGUCGGGGUAUAUGACAUCGGUUUCAGCCGAUGUAAAAGGGGAAGGAACAUGGACAAUGAUUUGCUUAUGAAAACUGAUGUAUUUAACUCAUAUUUCUUAUUAUAUUGAAAAACUAAAUAUGAUAUUUUGCUACAUUAGGAGGUUAAGGAGAAUCAUAAACAUAUAAUACGGAAGAAUAUUAGACUCAUGAUAUAGAUCAGAAUUGAUGUCUUUAUGAACAUGUCAAAAUAUACUAAAAAUUAACAAAGCUAUGUCAAAUGAUAUAAAGAGCAAGCAAUGUUAAAACCAGGCUUUUACAUCAGGAACCUAACACUCUUAGAACUAUUUUUUCCAUGCCAAAUUCAAUCAAUAAUACCCCAAACUGAAAUCUUUUGGCUUAAUGUCCUUUUAACCCUAGAUGUUUGGGGGUGUGCCGAUGCGGCCUUACUGUUUUAACUCGGCCACUCCAAGUAUCCGAUAUGUUUUGAUUAGCCCUCAUACCAUGAGGAAGCAAAAAAACAGUAUAUAACAAAGGUUAAACUUGACAAUUCUAUUAAAGAUAAAGUUUUCUCAUUGCUCUUAACCCCUAAAGGAUACAUUAGAUGUUUCUUUCAACCCCUAAAGAAUACAUUAUAAUACAUUAGAUGUUCCUUUUAACCCUUAAGUUUAAUGCCCACAAAUGUGAAAUGUCAUGGUUGUCCAUCCGUUAUAUACCAUAUUUUGGUAUGAGGGCUAAUCGGAACAUAUCAGACAUUUGGAGGGUUGAAUCCGCCAAGUUAAAAUAUUGAGACUGUAUCGAGACACAUGGCGAACAUUGAGGGUUAAAAGGUCAUUUAACCAAUUCUUUUCAUAUAAAUGACCCCUAUUGUUUCAUUAAGUACUUAUUCACUUCAAGAAGCAGUUUAUAAAUCAGACUAUACUUCCUCUAAAUCAGUUCACGAGACAUCAAUUAUUGAUAUGUGACAAGAACAUGUCAAGCUGUUUAUGUAUUAUUCAGCCAUAUAGCCUCCAAAAAUAUCUCUUCAUUUAAUGUGCUUGACAGCUCAAUUUCACGAACUUAUCAGAGAAACUCCCCUAUAAAUUCAUCACUAAUCACAAUCCUUUCCAUCACAACAUAAACAUUCUUCUAAGCCUGAUCAACAAUAGUUCUCAUUAGCCUUUCUGUAGUUUGAGAGAUGGGUUCCAAGAACAGUGCUUCAGUAGCUCUCUUUUUCACUCUCAACAUUCUCUUCUUUGCCUUGGUCAGUUCCACUGAAAAAUGCCCUGAUCCUUAUAAGCCUAAGCCCAAGCCCACUCCCAAACCAACUCCCACUCCUUAUCCAUCUGCAGGAAAAUGCCCUAGAGAUGCCCUAAAGUUAGGUGUCUGUGCUGAUGUGCUCAACUUGGUGCACAAUGUUGUGAUUGGAGCUCCACCAACACUCCCAUGCUGCAGCCUCCUUGAAGGCCUUGUCAACCUCGAGGCCGCGGUGUGCCUUUGCACUGCCAUUAAAGCCAACAUACUGGGAAAGAAUCUCAAUCUUCCUAUUGCCCUCAGCUUAGUUCUAAACAACUGCGGCAAGCAAGUCCCCAAUGGCUUCGAAUGUACCUAAAAUUUCUUGUGAGAGAUGGACUGUGAUCUGCUUUCUGGAUUUCGUUCUUUGUGUAUUUCAUUAUUGUAAAGUGUGCUAUUUCUGAUUGCAGCAAUUCAUUUGGUUUUUAUUGAAAUUAUUUAAAGAACACUGAAGUCCCCGGUGCAGGUAUUGUGUCACGGGUGAAUACUAAAAUUUGGAAAUUGUUAAGAAUUUCAUAUAUUAUUACAUAGGAUCUUAUCUCCUCCACCAAUAAACUCAAUUAUGAUAAAUUUAAAGUAUGAUUUUUAAUUCGAAACAUCCAUAUAUAUAUAUGUGUGUGUAUGGACAUCAUUAUAAAAUAUUAUUUGUCCUUUUCACAAAUAAUACUGGCGAUCUAUUGAUCUUGUAAAUUUUCAUUGAAAAAACUCUUGUAAUUCAACAUUAUACCCAUCCAAGUCUUUUUGAUUGAAUUCAAAAUUAUGACAUAUGACUUAAUGCGAUAAAUUAGUUAGGUGUUUAAAAUUUCUGUUCGGAUAAUUUUGACUUAUUAAUCAUUUAAAUAUUAUUAAAAAUAUAAUAAUAAUAAUAAUAAUAAUAAUAAUAAUAAUAAUAAUAAUAAUAAUAAUAAUAUUUGGAUAACUUUUAUCGAAAAGAGAGGUUUUAAUAAAUUAGGUUACUCAAAAAGAUAACUCAAACUAACUUAUGACAUUUAGUUUAUCGACUCUGACUUUAAGCCAGUUUCUGACUUAUUGUGCAUGUUUGGCUAAUGCUACUUCUAACUUUUGCCGACUUCGAUCUAAUAUAACAGACAUUUUUCGGCUUAAAUGAGAAACAGUUUUUAGCCUUAAUUUACAGCCUUUUUGUUUAGGCUUUAAGCCUAAAAUUGCUAGCCUCAUCAGCUGGGGAUAUUUAUUCUCUGUGGAUUGAUUCUUUGUGUUUUUCACUUUUGUUUCUCGUUGUGGUAUUGUUGGGUGAACAAUAUAUUCAUUUGUUUGUAUCAGGCGAUUUAAUGAAAAAAAUUGUUUAGUAUUCUGUCAACUUACACUAGUGGCUUAUGGAUACUAAUAGCGGAAUAAAUUUUGUAAAUUAUAAAAUUUAUACGCUAUUUUCACUACAUAUAUAUGAACCAUUGAUUCAAUAUACAAAUAGAUAAAAUCAUCAUAAAUGAGAAUUAUAAUUUCUUUUGUGAUUCAUGUAUUCAUUACUAUAAAGAUAUUACUAUUUACUAAUUAAUAUACAGAAAUGAUUGACCAUAUAAGUGAAAUCAACUGUAUUUUGAAUAGGAAAAGGGAGCAUAGAUAAGAAUUUAAUUAUAUGUAUUGUAAAAGAUGUAUUUCUAUAUAAAGCCUUACCAGAAAAUUUUAAUAUAUCAAGUUUUAAGCCCUAAAUGUUGUUUUAAAACUUUUUCCUAACCACAUAAUAAUGACAACCAAAUAAUAUUGUAUAAUGCAGGUAAAUAUAAGUACAUGUCCAAUAAAGUAUUGCUAAAAAAAUUUUUGUAUAUAAUAUAAAGCAUUCAUUGUAAUGAGAAAAGGAUAAUUGAUAAAGAAUUAUUACGAAAAGACGGAAUUAGAUUGCUUUCAGUAUAAAUUUCACCAAAAUAUUAUAUAAAAUUACAUUAUUGUUAAUGAUCUUGGAUAAUAUUAUGAUCGCAACCUUAUAUCCGUCACACACACACAUAUAUAUAUAUAUAUAUAUCACUAUCACUUUACUCCCAACCUAUUAUUAAUAUAACUACGAGAAAUCUCUCCGUUAGACAAUAUUCAGUGAUAGUCAGUUUUAGCCUGGUCGGUUUAGACAUAUUGGUCGUAUUUAAUAUAUAAAAUCCAUCAUCGCGGUAGUUGGUUUUAACUGGUGCAAAAAACGUACACAAAUGGGACCUACAUUGCCGGCCGGUGCCACUUAGACGCAAGUGCCAUGUGUGCACAUAUAAUCGAGCGGAUUGGUGGUCGGUUAUGGUGUUUGACCAAAAAGGUCAAAUGUGGUCGGUUAUGGUGUUUAACCCAAUGAUCGGGUCUAUUCGAGAAGAAGCUAUGGCCUAUUAGAACCGACCACAUAACCGGCCGGUGAAGGUGGUCGAUUUAACCAAAAGAGGUGGUUGUCGGUCGGUUAGCUCACCUUGGUCGGGUUUAUCACAUAAGCGGCGGGAGCUUUUUAAAUCUGACCAACCAUAAUUGACCAGUUUUUUGAGAUUCGGUCGGUUUUUGUACUCUAACAAAUAAAAUGUUAGAGUGCAAAAUUUAUUUCAUUCUCCCUCCAUUCCAUUCCAUCCAAGUGAACACAUAUCUAAGACUGUGUUCACUUAUAUGGAAUGGAAUGAGGAGUAGAAUGUAAUGAGAAAUUAUAUAGAAAUUUUAUGGGAAAAUAUGAGAUAAUAAUGACUAAAUAUGAAUGAGUUUAAAUAUCUUGUGAUAAAGAUGGUAAAAAAACAUGAUGUAGAAAUGGAUUGAGCAUUCAUCCAAAACACGUGGAUGUGGGUUAGAAUUUUAGUAAUAUAGUAGCAUUAAUGGAAUGAUGGAAGGAAUGGAAAUUUUGAAAACUUUCUCUUACCAACAUCAUAUUAGAGUAUAAAAUUCAUUCUAUCUUCCCUCCAUUCCACUCGGUGAACACAACCUCAGUUUUCUGAAGAAAGCAUGUCACGCAUUUCCGUUUAUUAUUGUUCGAAAUCGCUUAUAUAAAACACUACAAGAUGAACCAUAUAUAUAUAAUACUUUUGUAACUUUUUCUAUUACGUCCCAUUUAAAUUUUCUUCUUUAACCUUUUAUGUCUCCAGGAUUCUUUCUAGGGCAGGGUUGGUCCAUACCCUGACCACCUUACAGAAUAAUCAAAUAAACCUGUACGAAUAUGUUUAUCUUCAUAUUCCCGUGUAUUGUUUGGUGUUAAUGAUUCCCGUGACAGUUAGAGUCAAGGUUCAACUCAAGUUCCAACAAUUAUACAUGGGAAAAGUAACACAUUGUCACAAAGGUAAAAUUAAAGCCCGAAGUGUUGUCAGCUGUAGAUAGUUCUUAAAUUGGUGAUAGGCUUGUUGACAAUUUAGACUUAUAUGUCUUAGAAAUGAGUAUCUGUUCUAAUACUUCUCAACAAUUUAGACUUAUAUGUGUUAGAAAUGAGUAUUUGUUCUAAUACUUCUCGAAUGAGUCAGAGUUAGAGUUGAACCCGGGUGUUCUAAAACAACAGAGGAUAAACGUCCCACCACUUGGGCUAUCCAGUCCUGCUCAAACAAUUAUUGUAUUAUUAUUACUUCAGAUCGAUUAUCAUUUUACUGCUGGGCACAACACUAAUUACUGUUUGAGUGUUUAUUAUUGAUCAUUCUACUUUGUUUUCUCGACGCAAGACUUGGAGUUGAACACGAUCUACACUUGCAUUAUAGAAGUUCCUGGUUCGAUCUUUAAUGAUUAGCAGACAUCAGAUUCAGAUGAACAUGACAAUUUGUAUAACCAACCAAUUUUGAUGUGCUUGCCAGAUCAAUUUCCGAAGCCAUGUCGAAAAACUUCCCUAUAAAUUCAUCCCUUUGACAACAACCUUCUCCAUCAGAACAACGACCCUUCUAAAAUCUGAUCACCAAUUGCAACUUAUUCGAAAAAAAUGGGUUCCACCAACACUGCUUCAGUUGCUCUAUUUUUCGCCCUCAACAUUCUCUUCUUUACACUAGUCAGUUCAUGCGACACUUGUUCUGGUCCGAAGCCUAAGCCUAAGCCAACUCUUCCAACUCCAUAUCCAGCAAAUCCAUCUGCCGGAAAAUGCCCUAGGGAUGCCCUAAAACUAGGCGUCUGUGCUGAUGUCCUCAAUUUGGUGCACAAUGUUGUGAUUGGAUCUCCACCAACACUCCCAUGCUGCAGCCUUCUUGAAGGUCUCGUCAACCUCGAGGCCGCAGUAUGCCUUUGCA
rnacentral:lncRNA from 1 species